UGGGAAAAGCAAGAAAUUGAACGACGCAGACAGUAGGAAGAGCAAGGUCACGAGCACGCAGAGCAGGAGAUGCCUCAAGCUCCACCACCACAGGUUGAGAUAAAUGCACAGUUGUGGUGCCAGAUUUUCACUACCACCACGGGAACCAGCCGAGACGUACAGAGUCUCCAGCAGGCUAUGGGGACUUUGACGACUGAGAUGCAUACAGCCCACCGUGACAUCUGCAUUUCCACUGAUAUGUCACGUGCUGCUCGCCAGGAUGCCCAGGCAGCUCGGAGGGAGAUGGAAACUAUGAACGAUUGACUCAGUGUGUAUGUGGCAGGGUGGAUGGCAUCCAGAUGAGGGUAAAUGAAACUUGGGAGCGUUUGGGCCGUUUGGAGACACAUGUUGAAGAAAUCCAUGAUGAAAUGACACAGCAGUCAGCACUGAUGAGAGAGAUCUUGGCGCGCCUACCUCCACCUUCAGCUAAUGAUACUACAGGAUCUAGCUUCCCAUUGCAACCCCCGUAUUGAUUAGGGGAGUAUCGUUUGCCUCAUUUGUACUCAUUUUCCUUAAAUUCUGC
rnacentral:lncRNA from 1 species